GAGGUUUUCGUGUUUGGCUAAAGUAUGUUCCUGGUAUCAGCUUCAGAAUAGACAAUGAGCCUUUUAAGAAUGCAAUGCAAGGGUUCACUGAAAAGAUUGUGAGGAUGAUGAAGAGUGAACAUUUAUUUGAGUCUCAGGGAGGUCCCAUCAUACUGUCUCAGAUUGAGAAUGAAUAUGGAGUACAAAGUAAGUUAUUUGGCCCUCCUGCUCAAAACUACAUGACUUGAGCUGCAAAAAUGGUUGUUGGAUUGGACACUGG